rnacentral:piRNA from 1 species
UNCCAUAGCCUUCUGCCUCCUACAGGGUCCU